rnacentral:rRNA from 1 species
CAAGGCUUGACAUAUACCGGAAAGCAUCAGAGAUGGUGCCCCCCUUGUGGUCGGUAUACAGGUGGUGCAUGGCUGUCGUCAGCUCGUGUCGUGAGAUGUUGGGUUAAGUCCCGCAACGAGCGCAACCCUUGUUCUGUGUUGCCAGCAUGCCCUUCGGGGUGAUGGGGACUCACAGGAGACUGCCGGGGUCAACUCGGAGGAAGGUGGGGACGACGUCAAGUCAUCAUGCCCCUUAUGUCUUGGGCUGCACACGUGCUACAAUGGCCGGUACAAUGAGCUGCGAUGCCGCGAGGCGGAGCGAAUCUCAAAAAGCCGGUCUCAGUUCGGAUUGGGGUCUGCAACUCGACCCCAUGAAGUCGGAGUUGCUAGUAAUCGCAGAUCAGCAUUGCUGCGGUGAAUA